CACGUAGGGACCAAGCGUUGUCCGGAUUCAUUGGGCGUAAAGAGCUCGUAGGCGGCUUGUCGCGUCGACUGUGAAAACUCGGGGCUCAACUCCGAGCUUGCAGUCGAUACGGGCAGGCUAGAGUUCGGUAGGGGAGACUGGAAUUCCUGGUGUAGCGGUGAAAUGCGCAGAUAUCAGGAGGAACACCGAUGGCGAAGGCAGGUCUCUGGGCCGAUACUGACGCUGAGGAGCGAAAGCGUGGGGAGCGAACAGG
rnacentral:rRNA from 1 species